rnacentral:rRNA from 1 species
UACGGGGGGGGCAAGCGUUGUUCGGAUUCACUGGGUUUAAAGGGUGCGUAGGUGGGCAAGUAAGUCAGUGGUGAAAUCUCCGGGCUUAACCCGGAAACUGCCAUUGAUACUAUUUGUCUUGAAUACUGUGGAGGUCAGCGGAAUAUGUCAUGUAGCGGUGAAAUGCUUAGAUAUGACAUAGAACACCAAUUGCGAAGGCAGCUGGCUACACAAAUAUUGACACUGAGGCACGAAAGCGUGGGGAUCAAACAGGA